AUUGAACGCUGGCGGAAUGCUUUACACAUGCAAGUCGAACGGCAGCACGGACUUCGGUCUGGUGGCGAGUGGCGAACGGGUGAGUAAUGUAUCGGAACGUGCCCAGUCGUGGGGGAUAACGUAGUGAAAAUUACGCUAAUACCGCAUACGAUCUAUGGAUGAAAGCGGGGGAUCGCAAGAACUCGCGCGAUUGGAGCGGCCGAUAUCAGAUUAGGUAGUUGGUGGGGUAAAGGCCCACCAAGCCAACGAUCUGUGGCUGGUCUGAGAGGACGACCAGCCACACUGGAACUGAGACACGGUCCAGACUCCUACGGGAGGCAGCAGUGGGGAAUUUUGGACAAUGGGCGAAAGCCUGAUCCAGCCAUUCCGCGUGAAGGAUGAAGGCCCUCGGGUUGUAAACUGCUUUUGUACAGAACGAAAAGGUUUCUACUAAUACUAGGAGCUCAUGACGGUACUGUAAGAAUAAGCACCGGCUAACUACGUGCCAGCCGCCGCCGUAA
rnacentral:rRNA from 1 species